GUGGGGGUGUAGCUCUGGGGGAGAGCACUGGCCUACCAUGCACAAGGCUCUGGGUUCAAUCCCCAGCCCCACA
rnacentral:tRNA from 1 species